UACGUAGGGGGCAAGCGUUGUCCGGAAUUAUUGGGCGUAAAGAGCUCGUAGGCGGUCCACUAAGUCGGAUGUGAAAUCUCAGGGCUCAACCCUGAAAUCGCAUCCGAUACUGGUGGACUUGAGGCAGGUAGGGGAAGGUGGAAUUCCUGGUGUAGCGGUGAAAUGCGCAGAUAUCAGGAGGAACACCGGUGGCGAAGGCGGCCUUCUGGGCCUGUUCUGACGCUGAGGAGCGAAAGCGUGGGGAGCAAACAGG
rnacentral:rRNA from 1 species